rnacentral:lncRNA from 1 species
CUCAAAUACCUUCGGGGAUACUCUGCCAUCCUGUGUUUGUUUAAUUAAAUCAUGCAAAUAAUUAAUAAUAUUUUAUUGUUUUGAUUGGUAUUGAUCGAUUUUGACAGGUAAUUUUUAGAUAAUAAUUUACUAACGAGCCUUCAAAAAGCGUUCGGAAUUCGGUGUUGACAGGGUUCGGUUUUUUCAGGUUAGAUUAACGUUAAUUGAUAGGGAAAUUUUGUGGGACUUUGAAAAUUGUUCGGUUUAAACUGAAAUUCGG